UACAGAGGGGGCAAGCGUUGGUCGGAAUUACUGGGCGUAAAGGGUGCGUAGGCGGCGCGGUAAGUCGGGUGUGAAAUCUCGGGGCUUAACUCCGAUACUGCAUUCGAUACUGCCGUGCUUGAGGACUGGAGAGGAGACUGGAAUUUACGGUGUAGCGGUGAAAUGCGUAGAUAUCGUAAGGAAGACCAGUGGCGAAGGCGGGUCUCUGGACAGUUCCUGACGCUGAGGCACGAAGGCCAGGGGAGCAAACGGG
rnacentral:rRNA from 1 species